rnacentral:rRNA from 1 species
GUGAAAUUCUUGGACCGUCGCAAGACGGACAGAAGCGAAAGCAUUUGCCAAAAACGUUUUCAUUGAUCAAGAACGAAAGUUAGAGGUUCGAAGGCGAUCAGAUACCGCCCUAGUUCUAACCAUAAACGAUGCCAGCUAGCGAUCCGCCGACGUUCCUCCGAUGACUCGGCGGGCAGCUUCCGGGAAACCAAAGCUUUUGGGUUCCGGGGGAAGUAUGGUUGCAAAGCUGAAACUUAAAGGAAUUGACGGAAGGGCACCACCAGGAGUGGAGCCUGCGGCUUAAUUUGACUCAACACGGGAAACCUCACCAGGCCCGGACACCGGAAGGAUUGACAGAUUGAGAGCUCUUUCUUGAUUCGGUGGGUGGUGGUGCAUGGCCGUUCUUAGUUGGUGGAGCGAUUUGUCUGGUUAAUUCCGAUAACGAACGAGACUCUGGCCUGCUAACUAGGCGUAUUUCCGACAUCUCGAAGGCCCGCCGGCCUGGUGCGUUCGCGUGCCAAGUCGUGCGCGGUUUUUACUGUCGGCGUACAAACAAUUCUUCUUAGAGGGACAGGCGGCUUCUAGCCGCACGAGAUAGAGCAAUAACAGGUCUGUGAUGCCCUUAGAUGUUCUGGGCCGCACGCGCGCUACACUGAAGGAAUCAGCGUGUCCUCCCUGGCCGAGCGGCCCGGGUAACCCGCUGAACCUCCUUCGUGCUAGGGAUUGGGGCUUGCAAUUGUUCCCCAUGAACGAGGAAUUCCCAGUAAGCGCGAGUCAUAAGCUCGCGUUGAUUACGUCCCUGCCCUUUGUACACACCGCCCGUCGCUACUACCGAUUGAAUGAUUUAGUGAGGUCUUCGGACCGGCACGCGGUGGCGUUUCGACGUCGCCGAUGAUGCUGGAAAGAUGACCAAACUUGAUCAUUU